rnacentral:rRNA from 1 species
GAACUUAAGCAUAUCAAUAAGCGGAGGAAAAGAAACCAACAGGGAUUACCUCAGUAACGGCGAGUGAAGCGGUAACAGCUCAAAUUUGAAAUCUGGCUCUUUUAGGGUCCGAGUUGUAAUUUGUAGAAGAUGCUUUGGGAGUGGCUCCGGUCUAAGUUCCUUGGAACAGGACGUCAUAGAGGGUGAGAAUCCCGUACGUGACCGGUCGCCUUCGCCCGUGUAAAGCUCUUUCGACGAGUCGAGUUGUUUGGGAAUGCAGCUCAAAAUGGGUGGUAUAUUUCAUCUAAAGCUAAAUAUUGGCCAGAGACCGAUAGCGCACAAGUAGAGUGAUCGAAAGAUGAAAAGCACUUUGGAAAGAGAGUUAAACAGUACGUGAAAUUGUUGAAAGGGAAGCGCUUGCAACCAGACUUGCACGCGGUCGAUCAUCCGAGGUUUUCCCCGGUGCACUCGACCGUGUUCAGGCCAGCAUCGGUUUCGGUGGUGGGAUAAAGGCCUUGGGAAUGUGGCUCCUUUCGGGGAGUGUUAUAGCCCUCGGUGCAAUGCCGCCUACCGGGACCGAGGACCGCGCUUCGGCUAGGAUGCUGGCGUAAUGGUUGUAAGCGACCCGUCUUGAAACACGGACCAAGGAGUCUAACAUCUAUGCGAGUGUUUGGGUGUCAAACCCAUACGCGGAAUGAAAGUGAACGGAGGUGGGAACCCUUAAGGGUGCACCAUCGACCGAUCCUGAUGUCUUCGGAUGGAUUUGAGUAAGAGCAUAGCUGUUGGGACCCGAAA